GUAGGUGGCAAGCGUUGUCCGGGAAUUAUUGGGGCGUAAAGCGCGCGCAGGCGGUUCUUUAAGCCUGAUGUGAAAGCCCACGGGCUCAACCGUGGAGGGUCAUUGGAAACUGGAGAACUUGAGUACAGAAGAGGAAAGCGGAAUUCCACGUGUAGCGGUGAAAUGCGUAGAGAUGUGGAGGAACACCAGUGGCGAAGGCGGCUUUCUGGUCUGUAACUGACGCUGAGGCGCGAAAGCGUGGGGAGCAAACAGGAUUAGAUACCCUGGUAGUCCACGCCGUAAACGAUGAGUGCUAAGUGUUAGGGGGUUUCCGCCCCUUAGUGCUGCAGCUAACGCAUUAAGCACUCCGCCUGGGGAGUACGGCCGCAAAGGCUGA
rnacentral:rRNA from 1 species